rnacentral:misc_RNA from 1 species
UGACUGCGGAGGAUCAUUAACGAACAGAAAGGACUUUGGAUAAAGUCCUUUCAUCCUACAUACAAACACCUGUGCACCCUUCGUAGCCUCUCUCGCAAGAGGGCAGUCUAUGUUCCUAACGUACUCUAUGUACUACUAUACACAAUCUAAGGCCAGAAUGUUAAACAAUUACAACUUUCAGCAACGGAUCUCUUGGCUCUCGCAUCGAUGAAGAACGCAGCGAAUCGCGAUAAGUAAUGUGAAUUGCAGAUUUCCAGUGAAUCAUCGAAUCUUUGAACGCACUUUGCGCUCCUUGGUACUCCGAGGAGCAUGCCUGUUUGAGUGUCAUAUUAUUCUCAACCAUGUCUUGAUUCAUUUCAAGCCAUGGCUUGGAUUUGGGAGCUUGCCGGCCUCGCGGUCGACUCUCCUUAAAUGCAUUAGCGAAUAGGUCGUGUCAGUGGGUCUGGCGGGCAAUCAAUAGCCUUUCGACGUGAUAACAUCGUAUAUCGGANUCGAGGCUCGCGCGUCGGGUGUAAGACAUGUUCUCUGUUUGCUUCCAAUCCCCAACCUGCUUAGCUAGUAGUCGGUCGAUCUCUCCAGGAGAAGACGCCUUCGAACACGAACGCAGAC